rnacentral:rRNA from 1 species
GUUUGUUUGAUGGUACCUCCUACUCGGAUAACCGUAGUAAUUCUAGAGGAGCUAAUACGUGCAACAAACCCCGACUUCUGGAAAGGAUGCAUUUAUUAGAUAAAAGGUCGACGCGGGCUCCGCCCGUUGCUCUGAUGAUUCAUGAUAACUCGACGGAUCGCACGGCCCUUGUGCCGGCGACGCAUCAUUCAAAUUUCUGCCCUAUCAACUUUCGAUGGUAGGAUAGUGGCCUACUAUGGUGGUGACGGGUGACGGAGAAUUAGGGUUCGAUUCCGGAGAGGGAGCCUGAGAAACGGCUACCACAUCCAAGGAAGGCAGCAGGCGCGCAAAUUACCCACUCCCGGCUCGGGGAGGUAGUGACGAAAAAUAACAAUACAGGACUCUUUCGAGGCCCUGUAAUUGGGAAUGAGUACACCUUUAAAUCCUUUAACGAGGAUCCAUUGGAGGCAAGUNNNNNNGUAUAUUUAAGUUGCUGCAGUUUAAAAAGCUCGUAGUUGGAUCUUGGGAACCUUGGGCCUGGCUGGCCGGUCCGCCUCACCGCGUGUACUGGUCCGGCCGGGCCUUUCCUUCUGGGGAACCUCAUGCCCUUCACUGGGCGUGUUGGGGAACCAGGACUUUUACUUUGAAAAAAUUAGAGUGUUCAUCGAGCUGGCGGUCCGCCGCGAGGCGAGCUACCGCCUGUCCCAGCCCCUGCCUCUCGGCGCCCCCUCGAUGCUCUUAGCUGAGUGUCCCGGGGGUCCGAAGCGUUUACUUUGAAAAAAUUUAGAGUGUUCAAAGCAGGCCGCGGUACGCCUGAAUACCGCAGCUAGGAAAAUGGAAUACGACUCUCCGGUUCUAUUUUGUGGGUUUCCGGGACUGGGCCAUGAUUAAGAGGGACGGCCGGGGGCAUUCGUAUUGCGCCGCUAGAGGUGAAAUUCUUGGACACCGGCGAAGACGGACGAAAGCAAAGCAUUGCCAAGAAUGUUUUCAUUAAUCAAGAACGAAAGUGUGAGGUUCGAAGACGAUCAGGAUACCGCGUAGUUCCGACCAUAAACGAUGCCGACUCGCGAUCCGGCGGCGUUUAUUCCCAAUGACCCGCCGGCAGGCGUCCGGGAAAACCAAAGUCUUUGGGUUCCGGGGGGAGUAUGGUCGCAAGGCUGAAACUUUAAAGGAAUUGACGGAAGGGCACCACCAGGAGUGGAGCCUGCGGCUUAAUUUGACCCAACACGGGAAACCUCACCCGGCCCGGACACGGAAAGGAUUGACAGAUUGAUAGCUCUUUCUCGAUUCUGUGGGGGGUGGUGGAUGGCCGUUCUUAGUUGGUGGAGCGAUUUGUCUUGGUUAAUCCGAAUAACGAACGAGACCUCAGCCUGCUAACUAGCUAUGCGGAGGACACCCUCCGCGGCCAGCUUCUUAGAGGGACUAUGGCCGCUUAGGCCAAGGAAGUUUGAGGCAAUAACAGGUCUGUGAUGCCCUUAGAUGUCCGGGGCUGCACGCGCGCCACACUGAAUGGAUCAGCGUGUGUCUACCCUUCGCCGACAGCGUGGGUAACCCGCUGAACCCCAUGCGUGAUGGGGAUCGGGGAUUGCAAUUAUUUCCCCAUGAAACGAGGAAUUCCCAGUAAGCGGCGGGUCAUAAGCUCGCGUUGAUUAAGUCCCUGCCCUUUGUACACACCGUCCGUCGCUACUACCGAUUGAAUGGUCCGGUGAAGUGUUCGGAUCGAGGCGACAUGGGCGGUUCGCUGCCCGUGACGUCGCGAGAAGUCCACUGAACCUUAUCAUUUANNNNNNNNGGAUNNNNNNGCGGGCCGG